UGCACUGUGUGGUAUCUGCACCCAGCAGCCUUCUCCUGGUGGGGUGUUCAAAGAACAGUGCCACAGUAGCUCAGCAUUUGGCAUCGUUGGUUUUCAUUCUGCCGUGUCUGUGAAACCUGGUAUUUGUGCUGGUACAGCC
rnacentral:snoRNA from 1 species